rnacentral:rRNA from 1 species
AUGAACGCUAGCGGCAGGCCUAAUACAUGCAAGUCGAACGGGAUCCAGAUCAAAGCUUGCUUUGGUCUGGUGAGAGUGGCGCACGGGUGCGUAACGCGUGAGCAACCUACCCUUGUCAGGGGGAUAGCCCGGCGAAAGUCGGAUUAAUACCGCAUGACAUCAUUGAGAGGCAUCUUUCGAUGAUCAAAGAUUUAUCGGACAAGGAUGGGCUCGCGUGACAUUAGCUAGUUGGUAAGGUAACGGCUUACCAAGGCUGCGAUGUCUAGGGGCUCUGAGAGGAGAAGCCCCCACACUGGUACUGAGCCACGGGCCAGACUCCUACGGGAGGCAGCAGUAAGGGAUAUUGGUCAAUGGACGGAAGUCUGAACCAGCCAAGCCGCAUGCAGGAAGACGGCCCUAUGGGUUGUAAACUGCUUUUAUACGGGAACAAACGUCGGUACGUGUACCGGUCUGAGUGUACCGUAAGAAUAAGGAUCGGCUAACUCCGUG